UACGUAGGGACCAAGCGUUGUUCGGAUUUACUGGGCGUAAAGGGCGCGUAGGCGGCGCGGUAAGUCACUUGUGAAAUCUCUGAGCUUAACUCAGAACGGCCAAGUGAUACUGCAGUGCUAGAGUGUGGAAGGGGCAAUCGGAAUUCCUGGUGUAGCGGUGAAAUGCGCAGAUAUCAGGAGGAACACCGAUGGCGAAGGCAGGUCUCUGGGCCACUACUGACGCUGAGAAGCGAAAGCAUGGGGAGCGAACAGG
rnacentral:rRNA from 1 species